rnacentral:lncRNA from 1 species
CUAAGCCACAGUCAUGUUUCUGUCUGAUGCAGCUCUGCUAGAAAUGUGCGUCCUACAGAGAUUUCGACAGAACACUGUCCCCAAAAUGGAAUUGACACGAAGGUGAAUUCAGGACAUAUCUCUGCCCGCAGGAAGCUCACGUUCCAGUCAAUGGCAGCCUCUGGACAACUGCAUUGCCCAUCUUCCUGCCAGGACGUUCCAGAACUGAGGUGCCAAGCCUGGGUGCAGCCCAGGGAAGGACCCUGGAUGCUGCUGGAGGAGGGUCCCGAAAUCAAGGGAAUGGAUGUAUUGCAGAUAAGAGCUUCGCUCCAUUCCCUCUCCCCAGGAGGGCCACCAACCAUGUGUUUGUGCUUGCACUGUGAGCUCACUGCAUAGGUAAUUGGACCAGGCCUGAGCCAAUCAGGUUUGUCAUCCACUAGGAAUUUGGAAUGGAGAUGGACUAGUAGCCAAUGGACUGAGAAGAAAAUGAGGGAACUCAGGAUGCUGGCAGGAAGGGG